ACUUGAGUUUCGCGUGUUCAAAGAUAAACCAUUCCAAAUUCGAGGUGCAGUCAUACAAAAAGAUUUUGAGCCUAAGGAGGUUUUUUGUUGACGACGUAUUAUUCUUUGAUGUAUUGGUAACCAAUGAAGAGAUUUCAGCAAUAUUUCUGAUUUUAAAUGGAAAGGAGAAUGGAAAACAAUAUGAGAUAAGUUAUUUUGAAUUCGUUGGAGUUUUUUAAUAUUUUUUUGAUAAAUGCCAGAUAAAAUGCUGUUACAAUAGUCAAGUUGAGAGUUAACAAUGCCACAAGCAAUUAUGUUUGCAGCUUCUUUGGUCAGACAUGGACGAAUGUGGCGAAGUGCACGAAUGUGGUAAUUGCAGGAUUUAAUAAUAUUGUUUAUGUGCUUGUCCAUAGAGAGCUUUGAAUCUAGGAUGACUCCAAGGAUUUUUACUGAAUUUAUUGUAGUUAUUGUGGUUCCAGAAAACGCAAUAUUCAAAUCAUUUUUA